AUUCAUGAAGAAAAUGGGAUAUCUUUCUCUUACGCAAGCCACAAAAAUAAUGGAUGAAAAUGGAUUAUAAAUGUUUGCUAUCGAAUGACAAAACGGACGAUAUACCCCAAAACAAAGAACAGAACAUUUUUACAAAUACUAGGAAACACUGGAGGGCAAGACAGGAAAUCCCAAUUUCGCAUUGAUCGUCGGGCAAUUUACAGUAUAAUUUGCUGGAUAGAAUGUACUCAUUUAAAACUUUGCAUCGAACAUUUGUAUGUCGGUAUUAAUAUUUUCUUUAAAAAUAUUACAUUCGAGAAUGGCAAUAAAUAAACGUAUACAUUCAAAGCUAUGUCGUUAAUGGCAAGAGGAGCAUAAUAAAUUCAUAUAGAGGCUGACGAGAAUAUUUUAUAUAUCAAUAUGUAGAAUUAGUGUGUGCAUUAUUGUGCAUAUUAGUACGUACGUAUGUUGUAAACAUAUAUUUAAUAAAAAAAUUAGCGUACGCUAUGAACAGCUAUCUUAAGCAUAUAAUAAUUGAGGCUCAUUAACGUAAUUGACAAUUGAUCGUUUAAAUAUUUUCGUGAUCCAACUCUAUGAAACAUAUGUUUGCGUUAAAUAUCUCGUAGCUUCUACAUCCGUUUUUAAACUUGUCUCAGACUUUACCAAUAUAAUUAUGAUAGUCUGGCUUCAUUACCGUGCUAAUCAAAUUUCAAAAUCUUUCAUAUAGCACACAUAGUAUAUCCGUCAGAGAUUUCUACAAAUAUUUGGAUAUCGUUAAUAAUAACAAGAACAUAACGAAUUCACUCAAAAUUCUAUCAAUUAUUAUUCAUAUUACGAUGGAGACUCGGUUAUGUUCCGUAUUAUCCGGUCUGCUUCGAACCACCUUACUUACUAUAACUUACUUAUUAUAACUUAGUUACUGUACCUUCAUUCUUCUCGAUAUUUUAACACGAAGAGUACGAAAGUGUAAAAUAAUCAGAUACUGCGGAAGCAGUUAAUCAAACUUUCGAGAUAUUAAAUAACGAAUCGAGCCUAAUUGCAUAUAGAAUAUCACAAAAUUUCAAAUGUUUUCUACGAUUUUGUUAUAGGAUUUAUGAACAUUAAUAGAAUUCUUUCGUAUUAUCCGAGGCAGGCCCGGUCCACGUCACGUCAGCUAAACGAGGUUCUACUGUAUAAUUAUGCGAUAAAUAACGGAAUUUCUGAUUCCUAAAUAACACGCGAGUUUACAAUCGACCAACAACGAAUGGAGUGAUUUCGUGCAUAAAAAGAAUGACAGUUGCAUUUUCUGAAGGACUCGAUUUCCUGGUACCGCGUUCAUUUCCUCACCGUCUAAUUGGCCAUGGUUGUUUAAAUAUUAUCCACGCGAAACCCGUGCUCGUUCACUAGCAUCAGCAACACUCUGCAUAUCGUAAUUGCCAAGUAAUUUUAGCUGCUAUUCGUGUUACGAGCGACGGUUCAUUUUCCAACCCUGUGCGAGUCGGAGACCGGGCGCCGCAAUAUAACGCCAGUCGAUAUUUCAACCGGUCGUGUAUGAUUACUUUCGUCUUUUGACGUGUCUAUUUCGUAACGAAAAUGUAUCGUUACGAAAGCACGUUACAUCCAGAUUCGAUCGAAAUUAUUUAUCAUCAGCCCGCCUGCCAGACGAACCAAUGAAAUUUUCAUCGAUUCUACCCUCGUCCUGCAUCAAACUUCCAAACUUUGCGAAGUACACGCGUACACACAUGUGUGAAUGGUUUUCAGAGAAAUUUCGAAACGGUGAUUCCAUAAUUUUCGAAUUUCUAUAAACUUUUUAAUGUAACGCUAUUUCUCUGAUCCUUCUUCCAAGACAUUUCCUCGAUGCGCCUGAACAAACUGCGAUACACCGUUUGAUAUUCGAAUAACAUCUUCGUUGUAAAUUUAAUAAAUGCAUCUCUUUAGUAGACCUCGGAAAAAGUGUCUUCUUUCGAAUUUAGGUAAACUUUCUAGUCCAAUGAUCGUCCUUCCAUCGUAGUUGCGAGAUCCUUUUUCCUAGAUCAUUUAAGGAAAAUAAAUGUGCAAUGCACAGUUUGAUACUUGAAUAUAGCGUUGAUAACAAUUUUAAGAGAUGCGCCGUUUAGAUAAACUUCCAAAAAGAUGUAAUAAUUUAUACGAUUUUUUUCUUAUUGUUGGGUGGGUAUUAGGUCGUUUAGUAACGUCGUUUCACAUCUUUUUACGGUAUUCUUUUUUUCACAGCUCUCGUCAGUGAAAAUCUCGUUAAAUAUCCAGCGAACCGUAUGUCAAAUAUCAGAGUCCAAUUGUUUCAGCAGCAUUAACCGUACCGAAGAUCGUAAUCGAUUUGUAACUAUUACAGUCCAAGGCGAUUACUGCGAUAUGUACACGUAUCGUUUCAGUAGGUACAUAGUGGUAACACCUGCUUUACUCUCACCACAUUUCUGACACAGUUGCACCUAUAUACUUACAUCAAAGUGCAACGUUCUGUAUCCCUUUUUUUAUAUAUUGCCAGGCACGGUAAUCCCAAUUUGUCCUUAGACUCUAAUUCCAUACUUUUCGUCCUAGCCUUUUCGUAUUGCGCUGCUCUCCAUGAAUAAGUGAAUUCGGCACUAGUCCUAAACAUUUAUUUUGCAAGCAUUUUCAGUUACGAACGUUCUUUGGAUAGACACUCGACCGUCGACAGACCUGGACGGCUGCAGAACUUAAUCCGUUACUUCUUGACAUGUUUCCUACCCCUUCGGGUACAUGUAUCUCCUACAAUUCUUCUUAAUAUCUCUCGUUUGUUUUUCAAGUGCCUUUUAUCAAAUGUUCCUGACUCUUCGUUUUCGUUCCAACGAAGUAAUAUCAUUUAGUCUUUGCAUAUACUUAUACGUAUAUAUACUUAGAUAUCGAAAAAUACGAACAUAUUAGAUAUCCUUGGACAACAAUAUAUACAUCAUGCAUUGGAUUGUAACAUAAGUUUGUUCUGUUUUUAUGUUUACUAUAUGCAAACGGAGAAUAUGGAACGAACGUAUAUCGCAAGCUUGAAUUGUCCAACAGAUUAAAUAAUACAGAUGCAUGCAAGGGAAACAAAGUUUUUGGGAUUUUAAAACGAAGAGUUAAAUAUUACAAGAAAUUAUAAAAUAAGAAACUAAAAAGAAUGACUAAUAGUUGGCGAAUUACUCCUGGAAUAGACGAAGAUAAAAACGAGCAUUUAUCUCAAAGCAUAUCUCUUUCGCCGAUUCUUCUUGUAAAAGAUCUUUUAUAUCUUUCACAAAUGUUACGUUUCACGUCGUCCUCUACUAUUCGAGCAAGAAAUUUACUCUUUCUGUUCGGAAAAAGAAUUAUAAGAAGCAUUUUACAAUCACGUUUAUAAAACUGAUGUUCUUUUCAGGCAAACUAUCAGGGAAUUAAAUCAUCCCGACAAAGUGAUCCGGAGAUAUCGAACGUCGAACACUGAGGAACGAAGCUUUCAUAUUCAGACGUUUGUCAUCGUGUUCAGUUAUUUCCUGUAUCAUGGCCAACAAAAGACUAUUAGUAUGCCGUGCACUGUAACACCUCAUGGUCCUUAAUCCUCGAUGGAACCCAUCCGUGAAUUAAAAGUUAUCGUUGAUCGACGAUCCUCCUGAUCCAGUUAAGCCGCGGGGAGUGUCGUUUAGAAACUCUCCGGUUGUAAUUAUUCGGAACGGUAUCCACAGAAGCGAUUCUUCCUCUUCUUUUCUCAUUCUUUCGUCGACGAGGUCCUGAGAAUCGCUAAAUGGAGAUUGAUCUUUCCUAAUGUCGUUUUUCUGCGCUCUUAAAAUCGCUCGUCGCGACUAUAAAGCAUAUAACGUUUUAUAAGGUCAGAAGGAUCGUAUUUUAUAAUUCUCACUCUUGCGUUAAAGUACCCCGGCUGGUCCAGCGAAGGAAACACGGUCAAUCCUCGAGGGCUCGAGCGAAAACGUAUGAUCCUUGUCGAACACUAAUUUUACAAGUCCGUUUCACUGUGUACGUCAUUGGUUGGAGAAAUUUUAUUGAAAGGAGAAUAUCGUUCACCAUCGCAACAAUGCCGUGUCUUAUAAUGGAAUUAGGAACAAUAAAAACCAAUACGAAGAGAGAUUAUUUCGUCCAGAAAUAGAAAACAUAUGAUAGGAUGUUCUAUUUUUAAAGGCUAACAGAAUUUAUAUUAUACCAUUAUUAUAUCGUAACAUCUUAAAGCAUAUAGAGAUGUGGAACACGAUUAUAAAAAGUAUUCCAAUAAAUGCUACUUUCGUUUAAGAAACGCGUGAUUCUGAAGACACGUGUAAUUAAAGUAUCGUAAGUGUAUAUGAAACAUUAAGGACGAUUAUAGAAGAGGCAUAUUAUAGGAAAAAGAUUAACAACGAUAGUAUAAUACUGCAUCGAUAUCGUGUUGUUUGAAAGAUAUGUGCGUACGGUAUUCUAAACGUGUUAUUGCGUAUAUACAUUGAAAUGUACACAUCUAUCGAGAACUACGCGCAUCCACGAGCAUUUGUAAUAACGCUCGUAGGUUGGGCGGGUUCGAUCCCUCAGAAAGGACGUGCAUAUAUCAUUUUUACUACUUUCAGCCUAUAAUUCACCUUCUCCGACGCAUGUCGAAAAUAGGUGUAAUCUUUUUCUGCGAACCGUUUCGCGCGUUAAGUUUAUCGGAUGGACGUAAAAGUUCAGUAUUGGUACGCUUGUUCUCUUAAAAGCAAUGGUACACAAAAUGGGAAUUUCUUUGAUGAUCGAUGUAUCAUAAACGAACAUUUUAUCCAGUAGGUAUCGUAAAUGAGAGAUCUGAAGCUGUUAACCGAGUAUAAACUGGAAAUUAUAACGACCAAUGAAAAUCAAGUUACGAUUAUAGUAGAAAGUCAGUAAACGGUAUAACGUUUUAGUACGAAGGGUAAAAAUGGUAUUUAAUUUACGAUUAAUAGGUAAUUUAAAUAUUAAUGGAAGCGAUUAAAAUAAUAACUUAUAUGAAAAUGCUGAGGUUACAAGAAAUACGUAAGAUGAAAAUAUGCAACGCUGAACCUUUUAAAAAGUGAAAACUACAAUCUAUGAUCGCACAGUGAAAUCAAUAUUUAGCGACAGAUAUCCUUAUUAUUGCUAUUGCAACGAUGAAAUUACCACUGGGUAAAAGGACCGUGUUAUAAAACAGAACCGCGGGAUCAGAUAAAAAGGAAACAGUGGUACACGGACAUGCGAAAAUAAUAAACGGUGAUGAAGCACGAGGACAUGAAGAAAUGAUUGCUCUUAAAGAAAAGAGUGAAGAUUAAUUGAAGUAAUACAAUUGCUAUCGUCACAUUCACUGUACCCACUCUAAUA